ACCAGACUCCUACGGGAGGCAGCAGUGGGGAAUAUUGCACAAUGGGGGGAACCCUGAUGCAGCGACGCCGCGUGGGUGAAGAAGCGCCUCGGCGCGUAAAGCCCUGUCAGCAGGGAAGAAAAUGACGGUACCUGAAGAAGAAGCCCCGGCUAACUACGUGCCAGCAGCCGCGGUAAUACGUAGGGGGCAAGCGUUAUCCGGAUUUACUGGGUGUAAAGGGGGCGCAGACGGCGAUGCAAGCCAGGAGUGAAAGCCCGGGGCCCAACCCCGGGACUGCUCUUGGAACUGCGUGGCUGGAGUGCAGGAGGGGCAGGCGGAAUUCCUGGUGUAGCGGUGAAAUGCGUAGAUAUCAGGAGGAACACCGGUGGCGAAGGCGGCCUGCUGGACUGCAACUGACGUUGAGGCCCGAAAGCGUGGGGAGCAAACAGGAUUAGAUACCCCGGUAGA
rnacentral:rRNA from 1 species